AGAGUUUGAUCAUGGCUCAGAUUGAACGCUGGCGGCAGGCCUAACACAUGCAAGUCGAGCGGUAGCACAGAGAGCUUGCUCUCGGGUGACGAGCGGCGGACGGGUGAGUAAUGUCUGGGAAACUGCCUGAUGGAGGGGGAUAACUACUGGAAACGGUAGCUAAUACCGCAUAACGUCGCAAGACCAAAGUGGGGGACCUUCGGGCCUCAUGCCAUCAGAUGUGCCCAGAUGGGAUUAGCUAGUAGGUGGGGUAACGGCUCACCUAGGCGACGAUCCCUAGCUGGUCUGAGAGGAUGACCAGCCACACUGGAACUGAGACACGGUCCAGACUCCUACGGGAGGCAGCAGUGGGGAAUAUUGCACAAUGGGCGCAAGCCUGAUGCAGCCAUGCCGCGUGUGUGAAGAAGGCCUUCGGGUUGUAAAGCACUUUCAGCGGGGAGGAAGGCGUUGAGGUUAAUAACCUUGUCGAUUGACGUUACCCGCAGAAGAAGCACCGGCUAACUCCGUGCCAGCAGCCGCGGUAAUACGGAGGGUGCAAGCGUUAAUCGGAAUUACUGGGCGUAAAGCGCACGCAGGCGGUCUGUCAAGUCGGAUGUGAAAUCCCCGGGCUCAACCUGGGAACUGCAUUCGAAACUGGCAGGCUAGAGUCUUGUAGAGGGGGGUAGAAUUCCAGGUGUAGCGGUGAAAUGCGUAGAGAUCUGGAGGAAUACCGGUGGCGAAGGCGGCCCCCUGGACAAAGACUGACGCUCAGGUGCGAAAGCGUGGGGAGCAAACAGGAUUAGAUACCCUGGUAGUCCACGCCGUAAACGAUGUCGAUUUGGAGGUUGUGCCCUUGAGGCGUGGCUUCCGGAGCUAACGCGUUAAAUCGACCGCCUGGGGAGUACGGCCGCAAGGUUAAAACUCAAAUGAAUUGACGGGGGCCCGCACAAGCGGUGGAGCAUGUGGUUUAAUUCGAUGCAACGCGAAGAACCUUACCUGGUCUUGACAUCCACAGAACUUUCCAGAGAUGGAUUGGUGCCUUCGGGAACUGUGAGACAGGUGCUGCAUGGCUGUCGUCAGCUCGUGUUGUGAAAUGUUGGGUUAAGUCCCGCAACGAGCGCAACCCUUAUCCUUUGUUGCCAGCGGUUCGGCCGGGAACUCAAAGGAGACUGCCAGUGAUAAACUGGAGGAAGGUGGGGAUGACGUCAAGUCAUCAUGGCCCUUACGACCAGGGCUACACACGUGCUACAAUGGCAUAUACAAAGAGAAGCGACCUCGCGAGAGCAAGCGGACCUCAUAAAGUAUGUCGUAGUCCGGAUUGGAGUCUGCAACUCGACUCCAUGAAGUCGGAAUCGCUAGUAAUCGUAGAUCAGAAUGCUACGGUGAAUACGUUCCCGGGCCUUGUACACACCGCCCGUCACACCAUGGGAGUGGGUUGCAAAAGAAGUAGGUAGCUUAACCUUCGGGAGGGCGCUUACCACUUUGUGAUUCAUGACUGGGGUGAAGUCGUAACAAGGUAACCGUAGGGGAACCUGCGGUUGGAUCACCU
rnacentral:rRNA from 1 species